GCUAGAGCUCCAAGGACCCCACGCCUGUGUCUCUGUGACAGAGCUCAAAGGGCCCUGGGCCUUCCCUCCCUGGCUCGGCUGUGCUUGGGAGGGUUCCCCAGUCCAGAAUCCCUAAGGAGCAUGGGGCAGCUGAUCCAUCCCUGGUGUACAAACUGCUGACUGCAGACAGAUGCUGAGCUACCCAAACCAACACCUAGCCUCUCCCUGAAGAUCCUCCCAGGCUGAGAGAGUUCUGGGUGUCCUAGGACCAAGGACACUGGCAGACUUCCAGAAGGGCCCCCAAAGCCCUAACCUGUCCAGCCAGAGCAUGCGUCUCAGCAGAGCUGUCUUCCCAAGCCUUUGAUGACAAACCAAUUUCCCUCGAUGAUGUGCUUCUGAGUGCUCUGCUGAGGAACAAUGGGAAGUCUGCCCAGCAGAAGAAAAUCUCUGCCAAGCCCAAGCUUGAGUUCCUCUGUCCAAGGCCAGGGACCUGUGACCAUGGAAGCAGAAAAUGCUGACAAGCAAACACUGAUGAGCCAAGACAAUUCAG
rnacentral:lncRNA from 1 species